UGUUUUCUUUUUCAUCGUAUG
rnacentral:piRNA from 1 species